rnacentral:lncRNA from 1 species
UGUAUAUGCAUAAAUAAAUAGAUAAAUAAAUAAAUAUAUAGAAUAAUUUCCAGGUAAAGGAGGGGUGGGGGUUUAUAAAGCCCUUAAUUAUAGGUUAGGUUAAGGAAAAUUUGAUUAUUUAAUGAUAUAGAUAUAGUGAAUCUUAUCGCUUUCCUAAGAAUAUGUGUAAAAUGGAGUUCAGACCGAGGUGUAUAAAGUUAGGUAGAGGCUGGUUAAGUUGAGCCUAUGAAGAGAAAAUGCCCAAUAAAAACACAUUUCCAUUAACCCGGGUAAUUGAGGUUUGGGUUGGCUGGCUUGGUUAUAUUGAUGUAAAAACAAACAAAAACAAACAUGGCUAAGAAUAAGAUGCAACACUGAACCAAGAUUCCGGUAUCAGAGGUUAGGUCCAGGGCGGUUGGGUUGAUGUAAAAAACACUUUCCCAAAAAUGACGUUAGGUCAAGGCAGGUUAGGUUCAUGGUUGAUGAGUCCAUAUCGAAAACAAAACAUUGCCAGGAAUAUUGAACAAAGAUCCUGGCAGGUUAGGAACAGGGUAUCUGAGUUGAUGUGUAAAAUAAACACUUUUCUAGCAAUACAGUUGCAAUAUUGAACAUAGAUCCAGGCAGGUUUAGCACAGGGCAGUUAGGUGCAUAUUCAAAACAACACUUUUCUAAGAAUAUAGAUACAAUAUUCAACAAAGUUCCAAGCAGGUUAGGUACAAGUCAUUUAGGUUUUUUUUUAUCCAAAAUCAACCCUUUCUUAACAAUGAAGUUGCAAUAUUCAGCAAAGAGCCAUGCAUGUUAGGCACAUGUCUGUUAGGUUUAUAACCCAAAUUAACACUUUCACAAGAAUAUGGCAAAUUAAAGGUUAGGCCCUAGGUGGUUAUGUUGUGGUAAUAUGAGAAAAAUGCCAUGUAACUACAAGGUAAUAUUACACACUUGUGUAAUACUGAGUGAAAAUGUGUGUUUUAUGCUGAGUGUUAUAAUUUCGUCUAUUUUUAGUUUAUGUAUAAGUGCAACAUUGCGUGUGUGUGUGUAUAGUGAUUAAUUGAUGUGAUAUAGUGAUUAAUUAUGUAAUUAAUUGUUGUAUCUUAGUACGACUUUUAUCUCAAAUUAUUAUUAAACUGAUUUUUAUAUUUCAAUGCAUCAUAAACACCAUGGUUCAACCAUAUGAACUGUAUAUAGGUUAGCAUUUAAUCAUGUAAUUACGAUUUUUGGUGUGUUUGAAUAAAUAAGGGUAGUUAACAAUAUUUUUGGACUUGCUUGAAUAUUAUGCUUACUUUGCUGAUUGUCAUGCAUCAAAAUGAAUUAACAGUACAAAAGUUUAAGAUCACUUGGGGUAAAUGAGCUGUUGGGAUACUGAAAUCAUGUUCUUAAUACAUUCUAGGAAUUAAUAUGUUAUCAAUUACAUCUGACUAAAUGGGGUAAAGGUGGCAAAAACAGGCUAUUGUCUAAGCAUGUAUGGAUUGUGGAGUAUGUAUGUAUGUAUGUAUGUAUGUAUGUAUGUAUGUAUGUAUGUAUGUAUGUAUGUAUGUAUGUAUGUAUGUAUGUAUGUAUGUAUGUAUGCAUGCAUGUAUGUAUGUAUGUAUGUAUGUAUGUAUGUAUGUAUGUAUGUAUGUAUGUAUGUAUGUAUGUAUGUAUGUAUGUAUGUAUGUAAGUAUGUAUGUGUGUAUUGUGACGGUGUCCCACGCCUAUAUUUCUCCUAACCCAGCUUAAAGAGUCAUAUCUUCAUAAACUGAGCGUUCUCUGAGAUCCAGGAAACAUUUUCAUAUAUGUGAGAGUGUGGAGAGUUAUCAGGUUGACUGUGAAAUUGCAUUUAAGUUUGAUUAUGCAAGGGGCUCACUCCCUUUUGAGUCACAAGAUGGCUCCGAGCCAUUCUGUUUCCCGCCAAAGCGUUGCGGCGCCUGCCGGCACCUGAUUGGUCAGGUAGGAUCACGUGCCGGAAGUGACCAAUGACGAGAGCUGUCGGGCGGUGUGACGUCACAAGGAGGAGGGCUCCUAGGGCGGCUGGCGCCUGGGUGGGCAGAGUACGUCACGGACCCUCACAAAGUGAGGACGCGUUCCAGUGAGCUCCCGAUCUAGAGGCCAGAGAGCCCCUACCAGUGGAUUAAAGCAUCACUUUGAUACUGCAGACAUCCCGUGGAGUGCCAAGAAGCAAGGAUUGGCCGGGCUGGAGAGUCAAGAGCUCCAUUAUCAAGAGUCUGCAGCAGGGACGAACGUUGGGCUGGAGACGUCUGGGACGCCCAGCGGACCACGUUCUACAUAUCAAGCGAGUAGUGACGGCCGGGCCGAAUCUACUGAAAGUAAGGCAAGGGGAAGCUGUACUGGACUGCAAGUGUGUCUACAGUGCCAGCGAGAGGAGGAGGACGAGGACGACAGCUCAGGUACCUGACUCCAGUACCCCGAAGAAGAGGAGGACAGUCCCUGCUGUGUGAGGACGGCAAAGACGCACUACUAUGAGGACGACUGAGGAACUCGUGUGUAUGGGAACUAAUCAACGAAAGACCAGAAGCCAGGACCGGGAACACCAACAUCCCUCGCCAGAGGACGAGUCAGCUUCGUAAUGGAAUGAAGUAAGCUGAUCAUGUUGCCAGAGGCACGAGGUGUGUUCCCGCCGAUCUGACAGUUGGACCCAGCCAGCUGAUAGUGUUGCCAGAGGCGCGAGGUGUGCCCCGCUCUCUGACAGUUGGACCCAGUCAGCUGAUCGUGUUGCCAGAGGCGCGAGGUGUGUGCCCGCCGACUGACAAGUGGACCCAGUCAGCUGACCGUGUUGCCAGAGACGCAACGAGAGGGGUGUUGCCGCCAUCAGACAAUUCCACCUAUAUUAUUUCCUUAUGCAAAUGUGUAUAUUUUCUUCAGUAAACUUUUAAUCUUA